rnacentral:lncRNA from 1 species
UUUUGUUCACAUUUUUCAUUCCCCAAAACCUUCUCUCCCUUCUCUCCGACGAUUCUGGCAAUUUUGGUGAUUUCAACCGGUAAGUGUACCUUUACAUCACUCUUCUUCCAUCCCUCUCUUUCUCUUUCCUUCUCCAUUUUUUUUUAUCUCUCUCCAGCCCUCUCAUUCCAAGGUUUCUUCUUACAGUCAGCAACUUUCGGGCGGUGACAGCGGGAUAUCCCGGUGGCGACGACGACAACAUUGAUCUAGGUUAAUAAUUUUUUCUUCUUUUUUUAGUACCUAAUUCGCUCUCCUAAUUGGGUUCUUUAAUAUGUGCAUCCCUAAAAUUGAAUUCAACAUUGUGGCUUAGAUGUCUAUUUUUUCUAUUUAGAUUUACUCUAAUUUGAUUCUUCAUGCAUCCCUAAAAUUUAAUCUUAACCUUAUUAACAAUAUUGUGCAUUAGUUAUAAAUUUGAGAGUAAUAUGAAAGUUUAUUUGAUGAUGAUGUAUCUUAUUAAUAAUGUGCAUUAAUUAGUGAAUCUAAGAUUUACAUUUAUUAUAUAGCAUGCUUUAAAAUAGUUGAAAGCUCUACAUGAGACUUGUGUAGUUUAUACGAAAUUUAGUGGUUAUCAAAAAAUGAACUCCUAAGAUUUGUACUUAUUCAUCAAAUUAAUAAGCUUAGACAGUCAAGUGAUAUAUUUUUUAAAGUGUUUGGCACAUAUAUAACUUAUAUUAUUGAAAUCAUCCAAGUAUUACACUUAAAAAUAUAAUAAGUGAUUGGAUUAGUAACUUUGAUAAGAAUAUGACUUAUUAAUUAGUUUGUUUGAUUAGUUAGUAUUGAUAGGUUAAUUUUUGGGAGAAGGAAUCUUAACCUUUGUCGGAAAAAAUAAUAGAAGAAGAAAAAAGUGUAUCACUUCAUGCCUUAUAUAGUUUAAAUAAUUUGAGAGAUAUUUUGGAGAGAAAUCAAAGUAUGACUAUAUUAUUAAUAAGCAAGACCAGGUCCGAAAUUGGUCAAAUUUCAAUCAUCUUGUUUAAUCCAUUUUUAUUUUCACUAAUUUUUUUAUUUGACAAAUAUACUAUAUUAAUUAAAGGCAUGUGUGGACUUUAUGAACAUAUAAGAAGUUAUUUAAUGAAUUUAUAUUUUGAAAGACUUAUAUAACAUAAAAUAGGGAUAAAUGUAAGAUUUCGGGUGCUAAUGUUUAAAAGAAUAUAAUAUAUUAAUUAAAGUGUGUUGAAAAAUAAUAAGUAAAUUUAAAAAAUGAACCUUAGAAUUGGUGUAACCUAUUAAUUACUUUAAAUAAACUAAAAAUUGUAAAUAUCUUAUAAAUUUCAAGUUUUUUUGUUUGUGUAGAUGGCAUUUGCGCAUCGUAGAUGGAUGUAUAAUAGGAGUCAUCCUAAUCAUGUGGGGUUAAGGGAUGAAUUUAAAGAAGGGGUUGCUAGAUUUAUUUCUAAGGCAAGGACACUUUAUGAUUUUCGUAUUGAAGGAACGAUUAGGUGCCCUCAAGCGUGUUAAGUUAUUGGGAGAAGAUGUUGCUACAUGUCAUCUUUUUAAAAAAGGGAUUUAUGAAAAAUUAUUAUGUGUGGACUGCUCAUGGGGAGAAUUUUGAUAGCGUAAAUGAUAUUGAUUUUCAUAAUUCUUUUGGUGGUGAGGAGGGUAGUCAUGUAGUGGAGAAUAAUAUUGAAAAUUCUAGAUCCAAUGAUAUGAUGAGGGAUGCCUUUGAAAUAUUUCCGGAGGAUCAAUCUGAAUCAAAUGAUGAGGCUAGGAAGUUCUUCAAAGAGUUAGAGGAAGCUAGUUGUCCAUUGUAUGAAGGCUCAGUGCAUUCCAAGUUAUCUGUUGUUGUUCGAUUACUUCAGAUUAAGUGGGAUAAUUUUAUUUUUCAAUCGGGCAUGAAUUUUAUCAUUGGGCUUAUAAAUGAACUUAAUCCGAUUAACAUUGACCUACCCAAAGAUUUCUACACUGCAAAAAAAAUAGUUUUCAAGUUGGGUCUUUCAUCAGAGAGGAUUCAUUGCUGUGAGAAUGGUUGCAUGUUAUUUUAUAAGUAAGAUGCAUCUCUAGCGAACUAAAAAUUUUAGUAACAAGCCUCGUUAUAAGGAUGCCACAAAUGAUAAAAAGAAGAAGAUCCCGGUGAAGGCGAUGCACUACUUACCCCUUAUACCAAGGUUAAAGAGGUUGUAUGCAUCAAUGAGCUCUGCUCCUCAUAUGAGAUGUCAUUAUGAGCAUAGAAGGCCAGAUAGUUUUAUAUGUCAUCCUUCAAAUGGAGAAACAUGUAAGCAUUUCGAUAGGGUAUUCCCGGACUUUGCUAGUGAACCAAGAAAUAUUAGUUUGAGAUUAUGCGCUAAUGGAUUCACACCAUUGCAGUCUCUGCUGCAUCAUAUUCAUGUUGGUCGGUAUUUGUUACACCGUAUAAUCUUCCACCUGAGUUAUGUAUGACAAGUCCAUAUUUAUUUCUAACUUGUAUUGUUCCAGGUCCACAAAAUCCAAAAAAGUUGAUUGAUAUUAACAUGCAGCCUUUGAUUGAUGAGUUGAAGUUAUUGUGGCAUCAAGGCGUGGAAACAUAUGAUGUAUCAACUAAGCAAAACUUUAGAUUGCGUGCUGCUUUGAUGUGGACUAUAAAUAAUUUUCCUGCUUAUGAAAUGAUGUCCGGGUGGUCGACUGCUGGAGAGUUAGCUUGCCCGACUUGUACAGAAGAUACAAAGGUAUUCACUUUGAAACAUAGAGGUAAGAACACAUGGUUUGACUGCCGUCGCCGCUUCUUGCCAAUGGAUCAUGAGUUUCAGAGAAAUACUAGUGCAUUUAUGAAGAACAAAAUUGAUUAUGAGGAGCCACCAUCCAUAUUGUCUCCAGAAGAGAUUUGGAACAGAGUUAGGGAACUACCUAAGGUAACAUAGUAUCCUUUGGCUAAUAAGAUACCUGGUUAUGGUGUUACACACAGCUGGACUAAACAGAGCAUAUUCUGGGAGUUACCUUAUUGGAAGCACAAUCUUCUUCGGCAUAAUCUUGAUGUCAUGCAUAUUGAGAAGAACAUUUUUGACAACUUGUUUAAUAAUGUGAUGGAUGUCAACAACAAGACAAAGGAUAAAUUGAAGGCCAGGAUGAACUUAAAGGAAUAUUGUAGGCGAAGUGAGUGUACCUGACAUAUUUGAACAACAAGAUUCAGAAAUCCAAGGCCAGUUUUACCUUCACCUUGGAAGAAAGAAGAGAGAUUUAUGAUUGGGUUAAUAAUUUGAGUAUGUCAGAUGGGUAUACAUCAAAUCUGUCUAGGUGUGUUGACUUGAAAGAAGGAAAGUUGACGUCUAUGAAAAGCCAAACUGUUACAUUUUCAUGGAUUUUUUUAUGCAUGUUGCAUUUAAUGCAUUACCUGAUAGAAUAUGGAAGCCCAUCACAGAGGUAAGCUUAUUUUUCAAGGAGUUAUGUUCUAGCACCUUGAGGGUGGAGAACCUAACUUACAUGGAGAAUAACAUUCGCGUAACUCUAAACAAGUUAGUGAAAAAUUUUCCUCUUGGUUUUUUUGACGUGACAGAACAUCUUCCAAUUCACCUUGUACAAGAGGAAUGGUUUGGAGGGCCAGUUCAAUGCAGAUGGAUGUAUCCAUUUGAGAGAUAAUUAAUGACUUUUAAUCAUUAAUUCUUAUGUGUUUCAUUUUUACAUUAUUCCAUCUAAAAAUUCUUAUGUGUUUGACUACCAUCGCCGCUUCUUGCUAGUGGAACACCCCUGAGUGGAAGAAGAAGAGUGAACAUGCAAAGUUAAAUAGAGCUUCUACUAAGGGUGGAGCUUUGCAUACUGGUGAAUCUAUCAGGUUUGCAGCCCAUCGUUUAAGAUUGGUAAUUUCAUUAUAAAAUAUUCUUAGUUUUAUAAGUAUGCAAAUUAAACAUAUACAUAUAUUAAUUUUCAGAAAAAGAAACGUGAGGGAGAUGUGACUUAUGCUGAUGUCUUUGCGGAGACCCAUAAAAGAAGAAGAAGGACGACACAAGAGAAGGAUGGGUCGAACCGCAUGCUUCAGAGACAUUUGUAUGAUCCCAACUCCAACACUAUAUUAUUUUUCCCUCUUGGUUUAUUUUAUUUAUAUAAUGUGUAUUAUUUUAUUUCAAGACAAGUAUCAUAUUGAUCUUGAUGUAUGGCAAUAAACUCAUCCUGAAGGAACUCAGCCGGCCCGAAGGAGAUUAUUGCAGUUUGGACACAGGCGGCAAGUGGCAUGAAUAAAGGUAUAGAUAUUUUGUAAUAAUCUAUUUUGGUAUUAGUUUGAAAGUUGUGUGAUUAUUUUCUUACUCCUUUUACUUUCUUUUCUUUAUUUCUCGUGAAAAUAACUAAAGGUCGAGUCUAUGGGAUUGGAGUACAGUCAUUCUCCAGUCGUCCAGCAUUAUUAUUCGUUGGUGUAAUGACCCGACCGGUCGUUUUGAGCUCUAGCGCGUCGCUCGGCAGUUUAAGGCCUUGGGUAGCUUCACUUCAUGUUUUAUGACUUGUACGCGUAGUCGGAAUCGAAUUUCGGGAAGUUCAGAGUUGAUUCUGAUGGAAAAUUCUAAAUUCGAAAGCUUUAAGUUGGAAGAAUUGACUAAGGUUUGACUUUUAAUUAAAUGACCUCAUAAUCUGGAUUUGAAGGCUCCAAUAGGUUCGUAUGAUGAUUUCGGACUUGGGCGUAUGUUCGGGUUGAGUAUCGGAUCGCCUGGGAGCAUUUCAGUGCUUAUUGUGGAAAGUUGGCAUUUUGAAGGUUUUAGAAUUUCCUAAGUUUGGUUUGAGGUGAAAUUUGGUGAUAUCGAUGUCUGUUUGGGGUUCCGAGCCUUGGAGUAGGUUCGUAUUGUGAUUUUUGACUUGUGUGUAAAGUUUGACGUCAUUCCGGAAUGUUUUGAUAUGAUUCAAACGUGUUUGUCGAAGUUUGAAAGUUGAAAGAAAUAUUUUUAUCAUCGAUUCAUGAUUUUUAUGUUAUUUGUGGUGCUUCGAGCCUUUGGAUAAGUUUGUAUAAGGUAUUGGGACUUGUUGGUAUGUUCGGACGGGGUCCCGAGGGGCUUGAGUGAGUUGCGAACCAUUUCUAGGCCAUUUUUAAUUCUUGAUUUUUGUCUAGAGCAGUGUACAUCGCGAUCUCGGACAUUGGAACACGUUUGCGAAGAGAAAACUGAGAGAAAGGGGUCUGUGAAUCGCGUUCGCGAAGAAGAAAUUUAAGCUACAUAGGGCUGACUUUGGAAACUCAUAUCUUACAAUUUACUAGGAAUAUGGAGAUGAUCCAAAUAUAAAAGUUGUAGCCUUGGUGUCUAGUUUUCAGAAAGUCAAACUAUUUGUCAUUUGGAAUUUUGUAAAACAUGUUAUGACUAUUAUACUAGAGGUUGUCUGGAGGAGUUGGGCAGCUUGUUCUUCGCGAUCGCGAAAGGCAAUUUUGAGCUGAGAAAAGUUGUGCUUCGCGAUCACGAAGCAUUUUCCGCUAUCACGAAGGGUAAAUACCUGGGCAGAAGCUAUAUUUUAGGGGUUUCGUAAAAAAGGAGAAAUUGAGGUUUUUUGUCUAAAGUUUCAUAGAGUGAAUUUUUGAGUUUUGAACGUCGAUUUGGAGUCGGAUUUGAGUGAAACUAGUAUGGUUGGAAUCGUAGUUGAAUGGGUUGUCGAAUUUUAUGAGUUUUGUCGGGUUCCGGGCUCGUGGGCCUGAGGAUUAACUUUAUUAACUUUUCGAGCGGAGUUGGGAAUUGGUAAGAAUUGAUUUAUUACGAGUUAGUGUAUAUUUUUAUUGGUUUGCACAUUGUUUGACUAAUUUUGGAGCGACGAGCAUCGAUUUGAGGUGUUAGAGUGGCAUUGGAGCCGGUUAUGGAACUUCAGAGCGAGGUAAGUCUCAUGUCUAACCCUGUGAGGGAAAAUUUACCUCGUAGGUGUUAUAUUCUUAUGUGCUACAUGUUGUGGGAGCUACACACGUAUGAGGUGACGAGUGUCCGUUCGUAUGCUAGAAUUCCUGAUUAUGUCCGGGUAGACUUAGGUUUACGCCAUGCUAUAAUUGUACUAUUUGAGUCAUCUUUGCUGGUUUAAUUCCUUUAUUUCGCGUUACAACUUGAUACUAGACUUGCAUAGGGUGAUAGACUCGCUAUUGUAGAGAUGUGAGAGCUACUUGAUAAUCCGCGAAAUAAUUUGUGCUUCCCUUAUGAAUUCCUCUCGCGUUUUGCGUUUUCAUCGCAAAGCUUUCCUUAAUGUUCAUAACUCACAUGUUUAUUCGUGAGUGGGGUCAAGGUCCCGUUAAAGCUUCUUACUCUAAUGGGAUCUGGCCGAUCGCCUCGGCAUGAUUAUGCACCACAUUCUUAUGGGAGCGGGCCAUUCGCCUCGGCAGUAUAAUAGAUGCAUAUAUGAUUUGUGCCUUUCGACCCUCGAUAGUGUACACAUUAUUAUGGGAUCGGGCCGUAUGCUUCGACAUUUCUAUAAAAUACUCUUAUGGGAGCGAGCUGUUCGCCUUGGCAGUGUCGUGUAUAAUAUUUGUUAAGAAACCAACGUAUCCGUAUGUUUUCUUGAUUUGAGUUGUGACGACCUUCUGGUGAGGUCCAUUUCAUAUAUAUUCUGGUUGAGGAGGUAACUGAUAAUUGAGAGCUUGAAUUUAUUGUUCAGAAGAGGAUUGUACCACGUACCUAUAUUUGCUUAUUACCCUACCAUAUAUUUGUUUACUGUAUUUGAGUUAUCUGACCACUAAUAAGUGUCGAUAUCGACCCAUCGUCACUACUUCUCCGGGGUUAGGAUAGAUACUUAUUGGGUACGUAUUGAUUUACGUACUCAUAUUACACUUGCUACACUUAUUGUGCAUGCAUAUAUAUAUAUAUAUAUAUAUAUAUAUAUAUAUAUAUAUGUUUGGUGGUCUUUUUGGCACAAAGGCACGGCUGUUGCAGGGACUUUAUGGUGAGUUGGAUUCCAUCUUACGAUCCGCAGCAUAUAGAGUCUCCAUCAGAGUUAUUUAUAUUCUCCUGUCUAACUUGUAUUCCAGACAGAUAUUGUAUUAUUAUUGUACUCCUUAGUAGAUACUCAUACACUUGUGACACCGGAUUUUGGGGGUUCCUACUCGAUGAUCAUUAUUGUAGUUCACGUAAUUAUUAUCAUUUUACCUUGUAAUUUAUAUUUUAUACAUAAAUUGGAAAAUAAAUUCACGGGUUUUCUACGAGUACCAGAUUUUACUCUACUUAUUUAAUGGAAUUCAUGAUUUCGAAAAUAAUAAAAUUAGUAACUAAGUUGAUUAAUCACCGUUGGCUUACCUGACGGUAGCGUUAGGCACCAUCACGACCUAUAGUAGAUUUUGGGUCGUGACAGCUGGUGCAUCGGUUUCCUAAGAAAACAUGGAAGUUAUGCUUCAAAGAAUGGAACAUGUCGCAAGAAUGGGACUCAACUCAGGCUUUGAUCCAAAAAUUGUUAAAAAAGAAAAGCAAGAAAGGCAGUCAAGCUGCAAUAGAGUCUGAGUCUGACUAGGAUUAGCUAUUUGAAUGUUUUAGAGUUGAAGCUAGAGACAUGUUUAAUUUAUGAAUUUGAGUUAGUAUUUUGAUAAUUGGUUGAUCAAAAUUAAUGUCGUUUGAUUAGUUUGUUGGAUUGUUAUAAAUAUUACUGUUCGUUUUGUAGUAAAUAUUGGAUUUGGAUAUUUAUACUAGGUGUUUGGUAGCUUGUUAGGUGUUUGGUUGGCUGUUUUAUUUGGCAUGUGGUAUAAUUAAAAAUACAACAGAAUUCUGCUAAAAAUUUUCAGAUUUGCGACUGAAUUAGUUGCAAAUUUAUUCAGAAAUUACCCAGAUUUGUGACUGGUUUGGUCGCAAAUUGAGAAUUUCUGAAUUUUUUUAAUUAAAAUUCAAAUGCGUCCUUUAUUUUUCAGUUUGCGAUGGAAUCCGUCGGAAAUUUUCGACUGGUUCGGUCGCAAAUAUUUUGCGACCACGUGUUUUCCGACCGACCUUUUUCGGUCGAAAAUCUGUCGUAUAAACAUGAUUUCUGACCGAUUUUUGACUAAUUUGACGGUCAGAAAUUGGCUUUUUUCUAAUAGUGUAUGGAUAUUAUAUAGCCCAUCUUCCCUUAUGAGUGCAUUUUCAAGGAUCUAAUACGAGUACGAUAACAUUUUAAAGAGUCCACACAAUACACGGUAAAAUUCAAAAAUAGCCAGAUUUACAAGUGGUAAUUGAAAAAUAGCCACAGUUUCAAAAGUAAUUAAAAUUUAGCCACUUCUCAUGUAAAGAUAAAUCUUAAUAAAAAUACUAUUCAAAAUUCAGAAAAUAUUCAAGCAUAAUAUACUGGAGUUCGAAUUUUUUACAUGUGAACUUCCAACAUAAUAUACUGGAGUUCCAGCAUAAUAUGUUGGAAGCUCAUACACAGGUGCUCCAAUCUUUAAUAUAUUAUGCUGGAACUUUCCAUGUGCUGGAUUCCAGCAUAAUAUGCUGGAAGUUCACACACAUGUACUCCAAUCUCCAGUAUAUUAUGCUGGAACUUUCCGUGUGCUGGAAUUCCAGCAUAAUAUGCUGGAAGUUCAUACACAGGUGCAUUAAUCUCUAGUAUAUUAUGGAGCACAUGUGAACUUCCAGCAUAAUAUGCUGGAAGUUCAUACAUAGGUGCUCCAAUCUCCAGUAUAUUAUGCUGGAACUUUCCGUGUGCUGGAUUCCAGCAUAAUAUGUUGGAAGUUCAAACACAGGUGCUCCAAUCUCUAAGUAUAUUAUGCCGGAACUUUCCGUAUGCUGGAAUUCUAGAGNNNNNNNNNNNNNNNNNNNNNNNNNNNNNNNNNNNNNNNNNNNNNNNNNNNNNNNNNNNNNNNNNNNNNNNNNNNNNNNNNNNNNNNNNNNNNNNNNNNNNNNNNNNNNNNNNNNNNNNNNNNNNNNNNNNNNNNNNNNNNNNNNNNNNNNNNNNNNNNNNNNNNNNNNNNNNNNNNNNNNNNNNNNNNNNNNNNNNNNNNNNNNNNNNNNNNNNNNNNNNNNNNNNNNNNNNNNNNNNNNNNNNNNNNNNNNNNNNNNNNNNNNNNNNNNNNNNNNNNNNNNNNNNNNNNNNNNNNNNNNNNNNNNNNNNNNNNNNNNNNNNNNNNNNNNNNNNNNNNNNNNNNNNNNNNNNNNNNNNNNNNNNNNNNNNNNUACAACAUAUAAUCCAUCUUCCCUUAUGAUAGUAAACGUAAGGCACAAACUUCACCAAAUAUAAAGGGUGAGAUUCAAAAAUAGCCAGAUUUACAAGUGGUAAUUGAAAAAUAGCCACAGUUUCAAAAGUAAUCGAAAUUUAGCCAUUUUUUAUGUAAAGAUAAAUGUGAACGAAAAUAUUGUUCAAAAUUCGAAAAAAUACUCCAGCAUAAUAUACUGGAGUUCGAAUUUUUUGCAUGUGAACUUCCAGUAUAAUAUACUAGAGUUCCAGUAUAUUAUGCUGGAACUCCAGUAUAUUAUGCUGGAGUUCCAGUAAUAUACCGAUCGAGCAUAAUAUAUUGGAAGUUCAUACACAUGUGCUCCAAUCUCUAGUAUAUUAUGUUGGAACUUUCCGUGUGCUGGAGUUCCAGCAUGUUGGAAGUUCAUACACAGGUGUAUCAAUCUCCAGUAUAUUAUGCUGGAACUUAUUGCAAUAAAAUAGUGAUUAUUUUUCAAUAAAUUUAUAAAUACUGACUAUAUUUUAAUUACCAGUCCGAAAACUGACUAUCACUUACUAUUUUUACAAAUGUAAGAGUCCACACAUUUAUGUUUCUCGUUUGGAGCAUGUUUGAUCAAUUUUUCAAGUUCAGCUUAUUUCGAACGUACAAGCAAGUUACUGUACGAAAUUGUAGCAGAAUAAUUAAUGAGAUGCAUACAUACACGAAUAUACAUAAAUCCAUAAUUACAUAUUUGCACCUUUCUUUACUAUUUUAACUAGUAUACAGUAUUACGUAUCUGACUUCUCAUUUAUUCUAAGCUAAACAAUAAAAGAAUAUCUUUCACUUCUAUAUACAACUUUAGCUCCUCUGCACUGUAUCUUUUUCCUAUACCUCUAUUCAAACCCCACAAGUUCUUGCCAAAAAUAAAAAAUAAAAAAUAAAAAAUUAAAUCUUCCUUUUGUUGAAAAAAUUAAAAUUUUAACCCAACAAAUUGCUAAAAUUAACUUUUAGACCCCACGAUUAAUCAUCUCCAUGUACUGCUGUAACGACUGUUCUCUCUGUAACCUCAUUUCUUCAUUGAACUUCGUUAUAAACGCUUCCACUCGCCGGUUCAACUCGUCCUGACUCGGCGACGGUUCAAGUAUGGUUUUCCUCUUGUUUUCAGUUUGAUGAACCGGGGAUUGACUUCCGUGAUUCUGCUGCCAUGUGUUCAGGUGCCUCGUGAGCGGCACGUGACGACCUUCUGUUAUCUUCUUCCAUGUACUCUCUAAUGUCUCAUGUCUCUUCACCCUCGCUACCCUCAGUGAUUUAACCCCUGUAAUUCCAAUUAUUUACAGAAUUAACCUUAAAAGUGUUUAAACUAACAAAAGAAAAAUGAUAUUUUAAAAAUAUAUGAGUUAAACAUACUACUAUAAUAAUUAUAUAACAAAAAAUAAAAAGAAUUAAACAAAUAUAAAAAGAUAUAUGAUUCAUAGUACAUAUUAAUAAGAAAAUAAUAUUCUUCUCUUUCAAUUUAAAUGACACUCUCAUUAUUAGUUCGUUUAAAAAAAAUAUACUUUUAUAAUUAAAAAUAAUUUAAUUUUAAAUUUUUUAUUUUACCUAUUUUAUUUAUAAUGAGAAAUUUUUAUAAUCAUAUAAUAUUACGGCACAAAAAAAUUUUUACCCCUUAAAUUUUUAGAAACAUAAGUUUCAUUUUUUUUUUUUUCUUAAAUUCCGUAUCGCACUUCAUCUAAAUUGAAAUCUUUUAAGGAGUAUUACACAAAAUGGAAAGAUAUGAAAGAGUAGUAAAUACGAGUAUAAAUUUUUGAAUCGUUUCUAAAAAUAUAUUACGCUCUCUCUCAAAUUAGAUGAUAUAUUUUUCUUUUUAGUCUGUUUAAAAUAAAUAAUAUAUUUUUAAAUUUAAAAAUAAAUUAACUUUAAACUUUUUAUUUUAUCUUUUUUAUAGUAAUACUAAGAAACUUUUAUAACUACAUAAAUAUUAUUUUCCCAUAAAGUUUUUAUCCUUAACUUUUAAGACAAUAAGUUAUAAAAGCGCUUUUUUUUUUUUUCCUUAAACCCGUCAAAAGUAUGGUUUAUGAGAAAUGUAUAUUUGUUACCUUCAGGAUUCAUUCUCGUAAGCGGUUUCCG